GGCCUUGUCUUUGGGGAUGGCAGCCAGGUCCUUGUAUCCAAUCACCUUCUUGUCCAAUUUUGUCUGGGAAAGGGGGAAAAGUGAGAGUUCGAGAGACAGGGAAGAGGAAAGGUGCAUUUAAUGCGACGCACCGCUAUCACAUUAGAUACGGUGCAGUGGGCAAUGCUCACUGAAAAUGACAGACCUGUCAAUCAUCAAAAAGAAAGAGUCGAAAAUAGUUUAACCCUCGUGCUAUGUUGCGGGUCAAAUUGACCCUUUUUAAAGUUUGAAAAUCUAGGAAAAAUACUUAAAAGUAUUUUUUCAGUAUGAAACUUCUUCUACUGGCCUUAAUUAGUGUAAUCAACAUUUGAAAUGAAAAUGGUUCAUUUCAUGUAUUUGCAAACCCCCCCUGCAUGUUUAUAUCACAGAGAUACUGUUCGGGUCCAUUUGACCCGACAGUGAAAGUGGAGGCUAAAGGGGGUUAGAAGUGUCAAAUUUAGACCAUUUCUUUCUUUGCAGAUGUGAGACAUAAGGUAUUUCCUACUCCCUCCCACCAUAUUUCACCCCAAUCACACACACACACACACACCCGCAUGCACACACGCACACACAGACACACACAUACAUGUUUGUAUUGCUAUACUUGUGAGGACUUCCCAUUGACUUACAUUCAUUCCGUAACCUCUAACCCUAACCCUAACCCCAACCAAUACAUGCCUAACCCUAAGUCCUAACCCUAAAACAGCUUCUUGAACUUGUGGGGACCAGCAAAAGGUCCCCACCUUGCGUAAUUUUCCUCAUCCUUCUAUCCUUGUGGGGACAUUUGGUUCUCACAAAGAUAGUAAUACAUGCCAAUACACACACACACACACACACACACACACAUUUCACCCCAAUCUAACACACACAAAUACACACAUACAUACAAACACUCUUUCUCCUUAUUAUCCAUUAUCCCUACCUCACCUGUAAAGUGCGAAAAAGUGCAGAUAUGCCGAACUGUUGGUGAUCAAGUAUAGGGCCCCUCAAUUGUCUAGGUUCGUCUUCACAGACACCACAGCCCUAGUGUCUCAUGAGCACUCUCCAUAAAAAUUCUGAAAUCAGCACCAGAGAGGACCAGAAACCAAGCAUGAUCCUAGAUUACAAUGCCACCGAAGGGGGGGUGGAACAACUUGGACAAAGUAACGGGGUCCUACAGCAUCAAGCAAAUGACUGUGCGCUGGCCUUUAGGCAUUUUUUAUAACAUAAUUGAUGUAUCGGCCUACAAUGCGUUCAUCAUCUGGACGGAGAUUUUUCCUGAGUGGAAUGUGUCAAAGCUGUACAAGAGGCGCAUCUUCCACGAGAAGCUGGGGAAGGCACUUGUGGUACCGCAUAUACAACGGAGGCAGCACAAGGACCCCAGCCACUGCAGCCACAGUGAGGGAGAUCCAGGAGAGGGCUGCACCUAGUACACCAGUGCCUGAGGUUGCUGCUGGGGGAAGAAGGAAGUGGAAAAGGUGCCAGGUCUGCAUGACGUCAAGAUGAGCAAAAUUCAUUUGCACAAAGCAUACCGUGACGACUUGUCCCUCAUGUGCUGUGUAGAUACACAGAUACACACGCACACACACACACACACACGCCUCGUUCAUAUUGCUCAUCUCUUGUUCAUUUUUGUUCAUUUCUGGUUCUAAACAUUCUAAACAUUGCAUAAAUAAAGAUUACUUUCAAUAAAAAUC